rnacentral:lncRNA from 1 species
GUAGAUUGUAUAUUGUGUCAUCUUGCCUCUAUUCAAUAUUCAAGACAUCAUUUUGAAAUAACCCUGCAUACAUUCCAGCAUCUUGCCCAAGACAACACACCUGUAUACCCAACAGAAGGAUGCAAUGUCACAAUAAUGAUCUGAAUGAAUUUCUCAACAUGACCGACGUCAGAGUGGCGUUCACUAUUUAAGACGGAGACUCCAGUCCAAGCUUCAUCAAACUCAUCCAGCUGUGGACUCGAUCAACUGCUGGGACAAUAAUCAAGUAAUAUUCUUACUCAUUAAGUUUUAAACUUCAAUGCUUUUGCUUCCAAUCUUGACCGAUUGAUUAAUCUUCUCAGUUUCUUUUUCCCCCUCAAGGUGAAAUCAUGAUGAAGAUACUGGUACUGCUUGGAUGUCUCCUGAGUCUGGCUCUGGCUCUUCCAGUGGACGAAGUGCAUGAGAGAAUUGCUCGUUCUUCCUCUGACUCCAAUUCCAGAGAGAUGGGGCGGUAUCCGUCAUUCUACCCACCGUAUCCCCGGUUCCCCCCACCACCACCACCAACACAGAACCAGGCCGACCUAUGGGCCUUGUUCCUGCAAUUCCUGCUGGCUAACUCCCCCCCAGCCCCGGCUCCAGCCCCGGCUCCGGCCCCCACCCCGGCCCCAGCUCCGACCCCAACCCCCCA